AUUGAACGCUGGCGGCAGGCCUAACACAUGCAAGUCGAACGGUAACAGGAAGCAGCUUGCUGCUUCGCUGACGAGUGGCGGACGGGUGAGUAAUGUCUGGGAAGCUGCCUGAUGGAGGGGAUAACUACUGGAAACGGUAGCUAAUACCGCAUAAUGUCGCAAGACCAAAAGAGGGGGACCUUCGGGCCUCUUGCCAUCGGAUGUGCCCAGAUGGGAUUAGCUUGUUGGUGGGUAACGGCUCACCAAGGCGACGAUCCCUAGCUGUCUGAGAGGAUGACCAGCCACACUGGAACUGAGACACGGUCCAGACUCCUACGGGAGGCAGCAGUGGGGAAUAUUGCACAAUGGGCGCAAGCCUGAUGCAGCCAUGCCGCGUGUAUGAAGAAGGCCUCGG
rnacentral:rRNA from 1 species